AGGCUGCCUCUGCACUCUCCUGAUGGUUUCUUUUGCUGUGCAGAAGCUUUUUAGAAGGUCUGGCUGCUAGAGAACUGCAGAGCCAUGGUGAGAACCCAGCUGUCGUGAUUUCCACCUCAGUGCUUGUGCUGAAGUUUAGAAGUUUGACCAGUACUGAAAGCAGAAAAUGCUCCAGAGUGAUGGACAAGAAUAAUGAAGUUUCACUCCUAAAUUUGACCGCCUAUACUUCCCUGGUUGUCCAGUGCUUAAGAAUCUGCUUGCAGUUCAGUGGAUUUGAGUUCGAUCUCUGGUCUGAAGAUUCCUGGAACUAAGAUCCCACAUGCCACAGAGUAACUAAUCCCCCAGGCUGCAACUAGAGAGUCUGAGAAUCACAAGGAAAGAUCCCGCAUGGCACAGCAAAGGCCUGACACUGAAGUUUCACUCCUAAAUUUGACCGCCUAUACUUCCCUGGUUGUCCAGUGCUUAAGAAUCUGCUUGCAGUUCAGUGGAUUUGAGUUCGAUCUCUGGUCUGAAGAUUCCUGGAACUAAGAUCCCACAUGCCACAGAGUAACUAAUCCCCCAGGCUGCAACUAGAGAGUCUGAGAAUCUCAAGGAAAGAUCCCGCAUGGCACAGCACAGGCCUGACACAGCCAAAUAAACAAAUAAAAUGUUUUUUGAAUUUUAUAUUAAAAUAUAUAAAAUAUAUUUAAAAUUUUUAUAUAUUCAAGGUGAAAGUCACUCAGUCGUGUCCAACUCUGCCACCCCAUGGACUAUACAGUCUAUGGAAUUCUCUAGGCCAGAAUACUGGAGUGGGUAGCCUUUCUCUUCUCCAGGGGAUCCUUCAAACCCAGGGAUCAAAACCAGGUUUCCCACAUUGCAGUCAGAUUCUUUACCAGCUGAGCCACAAGGGAGGCCUUUUUAUAUAUUAAGUAUAUAUAAAAACUUGUGGGAUGUGAAUAAGAUGAUACAUAGAAAGAACAUAUUGUCUAGUCCAAAGUGAGUGUUCAAGAAAAGUUAGUUUUCCUAUUAUUAGUUUAAAAGCAAAUAUGAUAGGUAUAAAUAAAUUGUUUCCCUAAUCUUAGAGGCAAGAAAUGAUACAGUUCUUUAGAUUGUAAACAAAGUUUGAUUCAUUUCAAGGAUUAGUAAAACGUCCUCUGAUGAAUUUGGAGAUCUCAUGCUACCCUUUGGAGCAGAUAUGUUUAGAGUUUAUAAGUCUCAUUGAAGGAAGAUCACUGGUGAUGUCCAGGCUUAUGUGCCCUAUUCUGAGAUGGUGGCCCUUCCUAGAAUUGUUAUUUCUAUCCAAGUUUCUACCACUCACUUGAUUGCAUCCAGGUCACCACCAAUUGCAUAAACCCAAAUCCAAAAACCUUCUUGCCUGAAUCUAUCCAGGCAUUUGAAUUUGAGGCAUUACCUUUUCAAUAUCCUCUGUCCCCGUGUGUCCUAAGACACCUGAGCUUACAUCUCGUUAACGCACAACCCUCUGUAGUUAUUACCUUCAAAACAGCCAAACAGAUUGUCUGACAGAUUCUCUUCUCUGGCAUAUUGAAAAGGCAUUCUUUCUUUACCAAGGGCAUUAAGGCAAAACCCAGAACUUGAGAAACACAGUUCUGGGGGCUUCCUUGGUAGUCCAGUGGUUAAGACUUCACCUUCCAAUGCAGAGAGUGCAAGUUCGAUCCCUGGUUGAGGAGAUAACAUCUCACCUGCCCCGGAACCAAAAAAUCAAAACAUGAAACAGAAGCCACAUUGUAACAAAUUUGAUAAAGGUUUUAAAAAUGGCCCACAUUAUAAAAAAAAUUCUAAAAAUAGAGAAAAAGAAACACAAUUCCGGUCUACUCGUACUAAUGAAAGAGGAGACUAUGUAUUAUAUUCUGGUAAGAUUACAUCAGAAAAUAAAACCUCAAAAUAAUAAUAAACUUUCUCAAUAAAUCACCUUGUUUUAUGUAUAUAAAACCAUUCUAUCUGUAAGAUACUGUAGGAAAAGCAAGACGCUUACCAUUAAGACCUAGUCAAGAUAAAACAACUGAGACAC